CGGGGACCCGGGAACUCGUGCCAAGUGACUGGUGCUCGCUUUAGGCUCCUGCUACCUUCUGCGGGCGGAACGUGGGUGUCCCGGGAAGGGACGGACCCCAUCUCUACUAUGCCGCAAGCGCGUUGUGUCAACAGGCUGGCUGUGGACGGCCCGAUGAGCGUUACUUGAUUUUGUACUUUCGGCCACCUCCAAUUUUCUCAGAACGCAACAUAAGAAAAAAAAAAACUAACAGCAGUGUGUGCAGGAGAGCUUCGAAAAUAUGGGUGCUGAUGUUUGGUCACUGCUAUGGGGGAGGUCGCAGAGCUGAGAGUUGUCGGAGGACGUUUUCUGUCCUGUCUACCUGCAUCUUCAGGCUCCUCUCAGACUACUCCUCUGUCCUGAGUCACUGUGAGCACGAAGCCUGCCAUGAGGAUUCUGGAAUUGAACCUGGGUUCCCACGCUUGUGCAGCCGUGUCUCCCCAGCCCCCGUUAAUACUGUGUCUGAAGUAGCCGCUCUUCUGAAGUCAGCUCUGCCUUCUACUUGACACGCCUUCCCUUACUCACUUCUCAUUUCAUUUUCUUACUGCGUUUGCCUCCAUUCAGUGUUGAUAUUUUAAAAUUGAAAUCUGUUAUUAUUUUGUCAUGUAGCCCAGGCUGGCCAAGAUCUUGCCUCCCUUUAAGCUUAUUUUAGGAAAAUUAUGCUUACUUGUAGGGUGCUUGUGACAGUGUCACCCAUACACACACUGUAUGACAUUAGAUUAUGCUAAGCCUGCCAUCUCUAUAAAUUCUUAGUUGUGAAACUCAAGCUGUUCAACCCAGGGUCCAGACUUUUCAAGGGCUACUCUAUGGUAGUCCGAACUACUCACUGCUGACACUUGGCACCUAGUCUUCAUUCUGGGACCCCAGAGACAUUCUUCCCUGCUGUGACUAUGCUUGGGGAGGUGUGUCCACUGCCCGGCAUCUCAGCUUCACAAGAGGCCCCACAGGGGUCUCUCACUUGAAGGACAAGGGCCAGGGAGACCAUGUCAGUGGGAAUUACCUGUGAGGUCACGUGCUGCUGCUUCUAGUUCACUCUCUGACCUCUCCUGAAGAAGCCAAGCUGCAGAGAUGAGCUACAAAGGACAUUCUCAGAGCUGUCAAAAAGAAUCAGAGGAGAAAGGCUUCAAAGAAGACUGAGACCAGACCAGCUGCUUGGAAAAAGCAGAAGCCAGCUGAGCUGUCUGGAAGAAGUUUAGAUCAACUGAGGCACCUGGAAAGGACAAUCCACCUCCAACCUGCUGAGCUUCAUGAGUGCUGUGUGUUCCAGGUACCCAGCUUUGUGAGCUGUGGCCCAUGCUGGGGUAGGCUUUGGUGAUACUGCUGGUUUUGAGUCAUUUCUACUCCUGUAAGUAAUUCUUCAUCCAUACUCUUGUGCGUAACCCCAAUAAAACUCAUUGGUCCACCAAACUAGACUUUGGUGGUAUCAUAUUUGGUCUAUUAUGGGUUCCCAGUUUGGUGUGAGUGAACAUGGGUGUUGCAUCUCCCCCCAAAAACGUUUUGUCGCACAAGUGGUAUCAUCCUAAAGACUGGGGUGCUGGGAUGGAAUAAAAAGGGAAAGUCAGUCGGCCUCUCACUCCCUGCCGAGGUCCCCUUCUCCUCCCUCUCUAGUUCUCACUGUCUUGCUUUCUCCACCACUCUCUCUCCUCCCCUCCCUUGUUUCCUCCCCCCCCCCCCCCCCCGCAUCUUUGUUAGGAGAUAGUUUCCUGAGUUCAGCCAUCCCAGGAAUGAGUUGGCCGGAUCAAAACCGAGCUCCUGUUCCCAGUCCCCGGAACCCAACUCCUGUCCUGCUUCUUCAGAUGUUUGGUGUUUGUCUGCUAAGCAGUAAAGGAUAGAAAGAGAUGCUGUGACCCCAUUAUCUAAACUAAGGCACACAAGUCCUAAAUGUGCUGUCUUGACUUAAUUGACUACAUGCAACUUGCCACUCCUUUGUUCCCUGAUCAUUCUAAAAUUCCAGGUCAGAGUCCAAGAAGGGAUUUGAGCCAGCAGCUAACUCAAGGUGACCCAGAUAAGUUUCAGUUACCAAUGUUAACUUCCUUGUUUAACCCCUUGUAUUAAAAUAUGAUUGGUCAAUGGAACAGUUCACUCCAACAUUCUCCCUUGCUUUGUGUUUCUGUCCUAUAAAAAUGUGCUAUCUCCGUUCGGGAUACAGUUCAGAUCCUGAACUGGCCGCCUCCCUGAGCUCUCAGAAAAUAAAACUUUCAUUUUAAGCUUGAGAGAAAGGCAACGAAGAACUUCUCGUGGUGUUCCGGCUGACUCGGGCUGAUUCUGCUGACUCGUGCUGAUUUGGCAAAUCUUUGGGGUUUCAGCUGGAUGGAGCCACUGCUACUGAUUUGUGCUUGGUGUUUGCUAUUGGACUUAACUGCUGAUAUCCUGACAAGGAAGAUUGGAAUUGCCCCCAAAGGACUACUUCUAAGCAGGUCUACAGACCCCUUUCCUUUUAACCUUCUUUUCCCACUACCUCUGGGUGGUGGGCUAGAAGAGAGGUUUAAUUAAGAACCGUAAUUAAAGUAAGUUUUGAAAAAUC
rnacentral:lncRNA from 1 species